GGUUAAGCGACUAAGCGUACACGGUGGAUGCCCUGGCAGUCAGAGGCGAUGAAGGACGUGCUAAUCUGCGAUAAGCGUCGGUAAGGUGAUAUGAACCGUUAUAACCGGCGAUUUCCGAAUGGGGAAACCCAGUGUGAUUCGUCACACUAUCAUUAACUGAAUCCAUAGGUUAAUGAGGCGAACCGGGGGAACUGAAACAUCUAAGUACCCCGAGGAAAAGAAAUCAACCGAGAUUCCCCCAGUAGCGGCGAGCGAACGGGGAGCAGCCCAGAGCCUGAAUCAGUGUGUGUGUUAGUGGAAGCGUCUGGAAAGGCGUGCGAUACAGGGUGACAGCCCCGUACACAAAAAUGCACAUACUGUGAGCUCGAUGAGUAGGGCGGGACACGUGGUAUCCUGUCUGAAUAUGGGGGGACCAUCCUCCAAGGCUAAAUACUCCUGACUGACCGAUAGUGAACCAGUACCGUGAGGGAAAGGCGAAAAGAACCCCGGCGAGGGGAGUGAAAAAGAACCUGAAACCGUGUACGUACAAGCAGUGGGAGCACGCUUAGGCGUGUGACUGCGUACCUUUUGUAUAAUGGGUCAGCGACUUAUAUUCUGUAGCAAGGUUAACCGAAUAGGGGAGCCGAAGGGAAACCGAGUCUUAACUGGGCGUUAAGUUGCAGGGUAUAGACCCGAAACCCGGUGAUCUAGCCAUGGGCAGGUUGAAGGUUGGGUAACACUAACUGGAGGACCGAACCGACUAAUGUUGAAAAAUUAGCGGAUGACUUGUGGCUGGGGGUGAAAGGCCAAUCAAACCGGGAGAUAGCUGGUUCUCCCCGAAAGCUAUUUAGGUAGCGCCUCGUGAAUUCAUCUCCGGGGGUAGAGCACUGUUUCGGCAAGGGGGUCAUCCCGACUUACCAACCCGAUGCAAACUGCGAAUACCGGAGAAUGUUAUCACGGGAGACACACGGCGGGUGCUAACGUCCGUCGUGAAGAGGGAAACAACCCAGACCGCCAGCUAAGGUCCCAAAGUCAUGGUUAAGUGGGAAACGAUGUGGGAAGGCCCAGACAGCCAGGAUGUUGGCUUAGAAGCAGCCAUCAUUUAAAGAAAGCGUAAUAGCUCACUGGUCGAGUCGGCCUGCGCGGAAGAUGUAACGGGGCUAAACCAUGCACCGAAGCUGCGGCAGCGACGCUUAUGCGUUGUUGGGUAGGGGAGCGUUCUGUAAGCCUGUGAAGGUGUGCUGUGAGGUAUGCUGGAGGUAUCAGAAGUGCGAAUGCUGACAUAAGUAACGAUAAAGCGGGUGAAAAGCCCGCUCGCCGGAAGACCAAGGGUUCCUGUCCAACGUUAAUCGGGGCAGGGUGAGUCGACCCCUAAGGCGAGGCCGAAAGGCGUAGUCGAUGGGAAACAGGUUAAUAUUCCUGUACUUGGUGUUACUGCGAAGGGGGGACGGAGAAGGCUAUGUUGGCCGGGCGACGGUUGUCCCGGUUUAAGCGUGUAGGCUGGUUUUCCAGGCAAAUCCGGAAAAUCAAGGCCGAGGCGUGAUGACGAGGCACUACGGUGCUGAAGCAACAAAUGCCCUGCUUCCAGGAAAAGCCUCUAAGCAUCAGGUAACAUCAAAUCGUACCCCAAACCGACACAGGUGGUCAGGUAGAGAAUACCAAGGCGCUUGAGAGAACUCGGGUGAAGGAACUAGGCAAAAUGGUGCCGUAACUUCGGGAGAAGGCACGCUGAUACGUAGGUGAAGCGACUUGCUCGUGGAGCUGAAAUCAGUCGAAGAUACCAGCUGGCUGCAACUGUUUAUUAAAAACACAGCACUGUGCAAACACGAAAGUGGACGUAUACGGUGUGACGCCUGCCCGGUGCCGGAAGGUUAAUUGAUGGGGUUAGCGCAAGCGAAGCUCUUGAUCGAAGCCCCGGUAAACGGCGGCCGUAACUAUAACGGUCCUAAGGUAGCGAAAUUCCUUGUCGGGUAAGUUCCGACCUGCACGAAUGGCGUAAUGAUGGCCAGGCUGUCUCCACCCGAGACUCAGUGAAAUUGAACUCGCUGUGAAGAUGCAGUGUACCCGCGGCAAGACGGAAAGACCCCGUGAACCUUUACUAUAGCUUGACACUGAACAUUGAGCCUUGAUGUGUAGGAUAGGUGGGAGGCUUUGAAGUGUGGACGCCAGUCUGCAUGGAGCCGACCUUGAAAUACCACCCUUUAAUGUUUGAUGUUCUAACGUGGACCCGUGAUCCGGGUUGCGGACAGUGUCUGGUGGGUAGUUUGACUGGGGCGGUCUCCUCCUAAAGAGUAACGGAGGAGCACGAAGGUUGGCUAAUCCUGGUCGGACAUCAGGAGGUUAGUGCAAUGGCAUAAGCCAGCUUGACUGCGAGCGUGACGGCGCGAGCAGGUGCGAAAGCAGGUCAUAGUGAUCCGGUGGUUCUGAAUGGAAGGGCCAUCGCUCAACGGAUAAAAGGUACUCCGGGGAUAACAGGCUGAUACCGCCCAAGAGUUCAUAUCGACGGCGGUGUUUGGCACCUCGAUGUCGGCUCAUCACAUCCUGGGGCUGAAGUAGGUCCCAAGGGUAUGGCUGUUCGCCAUUUAAAGUGGUACGCGAGCUGGGUUUAGAACGUCGUGAGACAGUUCGGUCCCUAUCUGCCGUGGGCGCUGGAGAACUGAGGGGGGCUGCUCCUAGUACGAGAGGACCGGAGUGGACGCAUCACUGGUGUUCGGGUUGUCAUGCCAAUGGCACUGCCCGGUAGCUAAAUGCGGAAGAGAUAAGUGCUGAAAGCAUCUAAGCACGAAACUUGCCCCGAGAUGAGUUCUCCCUGACCCUUUAAGGGUCCUGAAGGA
rnacentral:rRNA from 1 species